rnacentral:rRNA from 1 species
UGAGGAAUAUUGGUCAAUGGACGGAAGUCUGAACCAGCCAAGUAGCGUGCAGGAUGACGGCCCUAUGGGUUGUAAACUGCUUUUGUAUGGGGAUAAAGUUAGGGACGUGUCCCUAUUUGCAGGUACCAUACGAAUAACGACCGGCUAAUUCCGUGCCAGCAGCCGCGGUAAUACGGAAGGUCCAGGCGUUAUCCGGAUUUAUUGGGUUUAAAGGGAGCGUAGGCUGGAGAUUAAGUGUGUUGUGAAAUGUAGACGCUCAACGUCUGAAUUGCAGCGCAUACUGGUUUCCUUGAGUACGCACAACGUUGGCGGAAUUCGUCGUGUAGCGGUGAAAUGCUUAGAUAUGACGAAGAACUCCGAUUGCGAAGGCAGCUGACGGGAGCGCAACUGACGCUUAAGCUCGAAGGUGCGGGUAUCAAACAGG